UACGGAGGGGGCUAGCGUUGUUCGGAAUUACUGGGCGUAAAGCGCACGUAGGCGGCUUUGUAAGUUAGAGGUGAAAGCCCGGAGCUCAACUCCGGAAUUGCCUUUAAGACUGCAUCGCUUGAAUCCAGGAGAGGUGAGUGGAAUUCCGAGUGUAGAGGUGAAAUUCGUAGAUAUUCGGAAGAACACCAGUGGCGAAGGGCGGCUCACUGGCCGUCGUAGUGACGCUGAGGUGCGAAAGCGUGGGGAGCGAACAGG
rnacentral:rRNA from 1 species